rnacentral:lncRNA from 1 species
UCUGUGCAAUUUUCCACAUGAACAUUUUGAUCUUUGGUAAUAGUUUAGGAGACCAAAUAUGCUUGUUCCAGCUCCAUUCAUCAGGUUCAUUGUCCAAGAGUAAUGACGUCGAUUGAAAUUUUGUUGCUUGUAGGGCUAGGUAGCCUGACUUUGCUGAAUACGCUCUUGAGCUGUGGAAACUCCAGACGUGAGAGUCUGGUGCACCGAGCUUGCUUGGUCGUAGCGUUAAAAUAUGGUCUGCUAGCUCCGGUAAGAGGUUCUUGACUCUUGCUAGGUUCCACUCCUUUGUUUCCCGAGAUAGAAGAUCAAAGACUAAGAGAUCUUGAUCUUGUAGGAACACAGGUCCCUGAGGUCUCAGAUUUUUCUCUGGGUU